GAGAGAAUCCCCAGCAGGCUUCUGGCUGCCAGUGCAGAGCCCAACUCGGGGCUUGGAUCACAAAACCGCAAGAUCAUGACCUGAGCCGAAACCAAGAGUCAGACACUUAACUGACUGAGUCACCCAGGCACCCCCAUAAUAAAGUGACUUUUAAAUUUGGUUUUAGACUUUUAACCUACAACAUUUUAUUUAGUUGUUUGUUUGUUUUGGCUUGUUUAUUUAUUUUUGAGAAAGAUAGAGAGGAAGGGGCAGGGGGACAGAGAGAGAGAGAGAGAGAGAGAGAGAGAGAGAGAGAGAGUGAGAGACAGAGAAUCCCAAGCAGACUCCGCACCAUUAGUGCUGAGCCCAGUGCAGGGUUUGAAUAUACGAACUGUGAGAUCAUGACCUGAGCUGAAACCAAGAGUCGGGCACUUAACCAAUUGAACCACCCAGGUGCCCCUAACCUACAGCAUUUUAGAAUUCAGCUAUCUGUUUGAUGCAUUGCUUUUUCUACCUCGUCUCUCCUAAUGUUUCCUCAGCUGGUUUUCAAUGAUCAAUUAUUUUUAAUUAUUAUUCUACUAUGCUAUCAAUCCAAUAUGUUAGAUAAUUAUUAUGUUCUAUAUUAUUAAUUAUUAUUUUCAAUUAUUAGUAGAUCCCCUCAGUAGAGCUAAAAAGGAAUGAAGAAACCAGCUGUGUGUUUUUGGAUCAGGAGCUUUUACUGCUUUUCUUUCCAAGUGUUAUCUUGAUCUUGUGACCACAGAGAGCUGCCACAAUAAAAAAAAAAAAAAAAACAAAAAAAAACAAACACUUUUCUGGGCACCUGGGUGGCUCAGUUGAUUAAGCAUAUGACUCUUGAUUUAGCUCAGGCCAUGAUCUCUAGGUUGUGGGAUUGAGACCCACAUUCGGCUCUGUGCUGACAAUGUGGAACCUGCUUGGGAUUCUGUCCCUCCCUCUCUUUCUGCCCCUCCCUUUCUGUCUUUCUCUCUCUCUCUCUAAAAAUAAAUAAACAUUAAAACAACAAAAACAAAAAACCUCACACUUUUCAAACAAACAUUCAGUGCAAAAAGCAAGCAUUCAGACAUCUCCAAGUCUUGACAUUUUUUCUUCCUUCUCUAGACAAGUGGGUCCCAGCAGAAAAAAGAAUGUCUUCACCUCACUGGCUCUCCAAUGAUGCCAUCAACACUUGCUUCUUUAAGUUGCCUGACAACGUGGCCUAGGAGCACUGUCUCCCUGGGAACUGCCAGCUCCGAGAGUCCGAGACUCUCAAGAUGCUGGAUGGAGAGCAACUACCCUGCCAAAAAGGGAGAGAGAACAUUCUUCUUCGUGCUUUACAAGGCCACUUCAAGUGCGUUUUAAUCGACCCACAACUGCAAAAAUCCUGGGUGCGGAUCACCACCAUGGAGCGGAAGGAGCUAAAACCACCAUGGAGCUCACACCAUGGAGCGGAAGGAGCUAAAACAAACCAUUACAGUCAUGGUGUUCAAAACUAGCGGGGAGAUGAAGGGCUGUGAAGACGAAGAAAGUAGUUGGGGAGAAGGGGUCUGGGAAGGCUCCCCCGAGAAUGCAGCACUAAAUGAGGAAAGAGUGAUGUUUGGCUCUCUAGGGGGAAUGGGGCUCCAAACGGAGAAAGACAACGCGCAAAGGGGUGAGGGAGUAAGAAACAGAGAUUUGGGACUUAUACUCUCAGAGGUGGUGAAGGCAGAGUGGGUUGUCAGAGUGGACGGGAUUUGAGGCGUGGGGGCACCAUUGACCUCAGUGUCCGUGCCUUUAAAGUGGCAAUAAUACUUGCCUUUUUAUGUUUGUUUUGAAAUUUGGAUGAGAGAGAAUGUCUUUGAAAC